rnacentral:piRNA from 1 species
UGCAGAGAGACAAGACAGAGACAACGAA